rnacentral:rRNA from 1 species
CAAAGUUUGUUAUAAAAUAACAAAGUAUAUUAAAAAUAUUAUUAUAUGUAGCACCACAAAAAUUUAUAAGAACAAUAAUCUAAACUAAAAGAUUUAAUAUGCCUAUGCUAGGAUGAGUAUUACAAAAUUAUGUAUUAAGUAGAACUAGUACUUCUAAAAAAAUAUUUUUUAUAUAAAUUAAAGAGAAGGAAUUUGGCAAAUAUUGUUUCGCCUGUUUAUCAAAAACAUGGCUCUUUGAAAAGAACACAUAAAGAGUCGAACCUGCCCGGUGAAUUAUUUUAACGGCCGCGGUACCCUGACCGUGCAAAGGUAGCAUAAUCAUUUGCCUUAUAAUUGAAGGCUAGCAUGAACGGUCUGACGAAAGCAAUACUGUCUCCUCUUUAUUUUUUAGAAAUUAACUUGUAGGUGAAGAGGCCUAUAUUAUAUUGAAGGACAAGAAGACCCUGUCGAGCUUUAAAAUUAAAUGUAGGUGUAAACUAUUAACAAAAUCAAUGGACUGCAUUAUAUUUUUAGUUGGGGCGACGAAGGAACAAACAAAGCUUCUUUUAUUUUUAUAAAUUUAUAGAUUUAGAUCCAGCAAAGCUGAUUAGAGGAAUUAGUUACCGCAGGGAUAACAGCAUAAUCUCCUUUGAGAGACCUAAUCGAAAAGGGGGGUUGUGACCUCGAUGUUGGACUAGAAUAUCCUGAAGAUGCAGACGUCUUCGAAGGU